UAGGGAAUCUUCCACAAUGGGUGCAAACCUGAUGGAGCAAUGCCGCGUGAAUGAAGAAGGUCUUCGGAUCGUAAAGUUCUGUUAUUAGAGAAGAACAAGGUGGGGAGUAACUGCCCUACCCUUGACGGUACCUAACCAGAAAGUCACGGCUAACUACGUGCCAGCAGCCGCGGUAAUACGUAGGUGACAAGCGUUGUCCGGAAUUAUUGGGCGUAAAGGGAGCGCAGGCGGUUGGAAUAGUCUGAUGUGAAAGCCCACGGCUUAACCGUGGAAGGUCAUUGGAAACUGUCCAACUUGAAUGCAGAAGAGGUAAGUGGAAUUCCAUGUGUAGCGGUGAAAUGCGUAGAUAUAUGGAGGAACACCAGUGGCGAAGGCGACUUACUGGUCUGUGAUUGACGCUGAGGCUCGAAAGCGUGGGUAGCAAACAGG
rnacentral:rRNA from 2 species